UCCAGACUCCUACGGGAGGCAGCAGUGGGGGAUAUUGCACAAUGGGGGGAACCCUGAUGCAGCGACGCCGCGUGGGUGAAGGAGUAUUUCGGUAUGUAAAGCCCUAUCGGCAGGGAAGAAGCAAGACGGUACCUGACUAAGAAGCCCCGGCUAACUACGUGCCAGCAGCCGCGGUAAUACGUAGGGGGCAAGCGUUAUCCGGAUUUACUGGGUGUAAAGGGAGCGUAGACGGCAUGGCAAGUCAGAUGUGAAAGCCCGGGGCUCAACCCCGGGACUGCAUUUGAAACUGUCAGGCUGGAGUGCAGGAGAGGUAAGUGGAAUUCCUAGUGUAGCGGUGAAAUGCGUAGAUAUUAGGAGGAACACCAGUGGCGAAGGCGGCCUGCUGGACGAUGACUGACGUUGAGGCUCGAAAGCGUGGGGAGCAAACAGGAUUAGAUCCCCGAGUA
rnacentral:rRNA from 1 species